rnacentral:lncRNA from 10 species
GGGAUGGGCCGAGGGCGUGCAGGGCCCGCAGCUCCAGAGGCUGAGGCGAGCUUGCGCGCAGCCUCCUCGUCCAGCGCCGUGCACGUACCGCCCGUCCGCGCGGUCGGCCGCGUUGUAGGGGACGGACGUGGAGGCCGAGGCGAGCUUGUGUGCGCCUGACCAGGGCCCGCCUUGGCCGGACCCCUCCGCGGCCGGGUCCCCAGAAUGCGGUCGUCCGUGCUGUCCCGUCCCCACCACCCUCUCUGAACCCAAGGACCUAACCCCCUAGGACCCCCUCGCCACGGAGGACCCCCCGGGUCUGCGUCUGGCCCCUCGCUCUGCUCCAGGACUGCCGCGUCAGACCCUACAGAAAGCCCCUUCCUCUGGUGGCCAGCCUGGUGCAUGAUGGGUUUGGUUUGCACUUGCCUCGUGAUUAGUGGUGUUGAGCAUCUUUCCGCGGACUUGGUGGCGUCAAGUGUUGUUAACUAUGACCACGUGACCACAUGACCUAUUUCAUUUUAUCUGUACAACGUUUCUGUUUGGGGUGAUAAAAAAAUUUGGAAUUGGUAGUGGGAAUGGCUGUACAACAAUGUGAAUGCCACUGAAUUGCACCCUUAAAAUUGUUACAAUGGGCCGGGUGUGGUGGCUAUGCCUAUAAUCCCAGCACUUUGAGAGGCCCAAGUGGGCAGAUCACCUGAGGUCAGGAGUUCAGGACAAGUCUGGCCAACAUGGUGAAAC